UACGUAGGGUGCAAGCGUUAUCCGGAAUUAUUGGGCGUAAAGAGCUCGUAGGCGGUUUGUCGCGUCUGCUGUGAAAUCCCGAGGCUCAACCUCGGGCCUGCAGUGGGUACGGGCAGACUAGAGUGCGGUAGGGGAGAUUGGAAUUCCUGGUGUAGCGGUGGAAUGCGCAGAUAUCAGGAGGAACACCGAUGGCGAAGGCAGAUCUCUGGGCCGUAACUGACGCUGAGGAGCGAAAGGGUGGGGAGCAAACGGG
rnacentral:rRNA from 1 species